rnacentral:tRNA from 1 species
GUUGUGGCUCAGUGAUAGAACACUUGCCUAGAAUGUGCGAGGCACUGGGUUCGAUUCUCAGUACAACA